UGUUUUUGGUGGUUUGAAUGAUAAAUGGAGCCUGGAGGCAAGGGGUAGAGACUGGGUUGGGUGUGGCUGAUAAUCCUCAGGCUGGCUAGCACAUGUUCUAAUUGUGCUCUGUGACAAGCUGGACAUAUGUUAUGCAGCAAGGACCCUUGGUGUUUACGGGCAAUGGAAAGAAUUAAAGGCACCAAAAACCACCUGUAUAAUCAGAGAUUAAAUGGUCUCAACUUUUUCAAUUUAUGGAAGGGAUGAAUAAGACAAGACAUGUUGGAGGUAUAAAACAAUAAAUGAUAGAAUAAAGUUGGCGAUUCCUAGAGCUGAUGUCACUGCUGAGCAGUUGUAUUGGAACAGUGAAAGACAACACCGCCUUCGCUGGCGGUGAGGUUCUCCACUACCUGCUGAAAUCACUCUGAGCUGGGUUAGGUGGCGGAACUUCUGAACAUGACCCCCUGGGAGCAGCAAGUGGUGACGGCAGAGAGACCGUGACAGCUGUGAGCCAGUUGCAGAGGCUGCAGUAGAGGAUUUGGUAGAUGCCCUCCUGGAGGUGGGAAAUGAACCCCUGUGAACAAACCUCUGAGCUCUGGGUCUUUGCUAACCAAGGACAGCCACUUGUGAGUGGGGUGCAAUGGAGGGAGAGGGGAAUGAUGUAUUAAGGGGCAUUUGUUCAUUGGACUUUUCCACUGCAUGAUUGGAAACUGAGGCGAAGGUCACUGCCCAAUGCACUAUGGAGUCGGGAUUUGCUCAUGGUCCCAUGCUUUUGAAUGUGGUUGUGGUGUUCUCCCAUGUUAAUGCUUGGUUCUCUUUCCCUUUUAAUAAAAAAAUGUCUUUUUUGUUGUA